rnacentral:rRNA from 1 species
AGAAUCAACGCUGGCGGCGUGCCUAACACAUGCAAGUCGAACGAGAAAGUGGAGCAAUCCACGAGUAAAGUGGCGCACGGGUGAGUAACACGUGACUAACCUACCCUUGAGUGGGGGAUAACCUAGGGAAACCUGGGCUAAUACCGCAUAAUACCUUCGGGUCAAAGGAGCAAUUCGCUUAAGGAGGGGGUCGCGGCCGAUUAGUUAGUUGGCGGGGUAAUGGCCCACCAAGACUAUGAUCGGUAUCCGGCCUGAGAGGGCGCACGGACACACUGGAACUGAAACACGGUCCAGACUCCUACGGGAGGCAGCAGUGGGGAAUUUGCGCAAUGGGGGAAACCCUGACGCAGCAACGCCGCGUGGAGGAUGAAGUCCCUUGGGACGUAAACUCCUUUCGAUCGGGACGAUAAUGACGGUACCGAGAGAAGAAGCCCCGGCUAACUUCGCGCCAGCAGCCGC